GCAUUACUCUUCCCUGCCUCACAUCAAGGUGCCAUUCAGGUAUUUGGCUCCUAGCUACUUAAAGUUAAAAAUAAUCACUCUAAUAUUUGUAUCAUAGAAACUCAAAAAAAAAAAAAGAAAAGUCACAGAAACAUAAUCAAAUGGGAGAAGGCAGGAGAGAAUGGUCUCAACAGAUUUAAGUUGGCUGUUGGGACUGAGGAGGAGAGGACCUGAUGAAAAGACCAUGCUCUGGGGACAGGGAUACCUUAGAUUCUCUGUCUACUUUUCUUCUAACAAGUCAGCUGUGCUGAAGCCCAGUAGUGAUGAAGAGACUCCAGCCAGAGAAAAACCCA
rnacentral:lncRNA from 1 species